AUGGUGAAACAUUUGGUGCAUAUUCCCACAAAGAAUUUCAAGUCGGAUUUGGACGUGUUGCCGGUAACAAACACAAUGAAGAAGCACACGGUUACUUUAGAUGAAGAAAAAGGUCACAAAUUACAUGUUCAGGUCUCCCAUGAUAUCAAAAAAGAAGUGACGGUGGUGGUUUUCGAUUGUGGCGUAGAAGGAAGUAGAAGGAAGAACAUUGACGGAGAAAUCAAUGACAACAUCAUUGAUUCAUUCAGAGAUGUUCGUAGAAGCAGCAAGGAAGAAGGGACAAGGAGGAAAAAAAGCAUAGGAGUUGGUUGA